rnacentral:rRNA from 1 species
GGAUGGCUCUGCGGCUUAUCAGGUUGUAGUGAGGGUAACGUCCUCACUAGCCUAUGACGGGUACGGGCCCUGAGAGGGGAAGCCCGGAGAUGGACUCUGAGACACGAGUCCAGGCCCUACGGGGCGCAGCAGGCGCGAAAACUCCGCAAUGCUCGAAAGAGUGACGGGGGGAUUCCAAGUGCCUACGCUCAGCGUAGGCUGUUCAGAUGCCUAAAAAGCAUCUGGAGUAAGGGCUGGGUAAGACGGGUGCCAUCUGUGGCAGCAGCCGAAAAUUUGGCUUGCUACUGCAAGGCAUAAGCCGCCGCGGUAAUACCCGCAGCUCGAGUGGUAGUCGAUUUUAUUGGGCCUAAAGCGUCCGUAUCCGGUCUGGUAAAUGCUUGGGUAAAUCGUCUGGCUUAACCAGAUGAAUUCCGGGUAGACUACCAGACUUGGGACCGGUUGAGGAAGAGGGUACUUCAGGGGUAGGAGUGAAAUCCUGUAAUCCUUGAAGGACCACCAGUGGCGAAGGCGCUCUUCUAGGACGGGUCCGACGGUGAGCGACGAAAGCCAGGGGAGCAAACCGGAUUAGAUACCCGGGUAGUCCUGGCCGUAAACGAUGUGGGCUUGGCAUUGGGGGUUCUACGUGAGCGCCCAGUGUCGUAGCGAAGGCGUUAAGCCCACCGCCUGGGAAGUAUGGUCGC